rnacentral:rRNA from 1 species
UACGUAGGGUGCAAGCGUUAAUCGGAAUUACUGGGCGUAAAGCGUGCGCAGGCGGUUCGUUAAGUCAGAUGUGAAAGCCCCGGGCUCAACCUGGGAACUGCAUUUGAAACUGGCGGGCUUGAGUGCGGCAGAGGGGGGUGGAAUUCCGCGUGUAGCAGUGAAAUGCGUAGAGAUGCGGAGGAACACCGAUGGCGAAGGCAGCCCCCUGGGCCGACACUGACGCUCAGGCACGAAAGCGUGGGGAACAAACAGG